GAAACAGCUGUAAUGAUGAACAUGUUGGAUUUGGUUUAUUUAAGACACAAACAAAUAUUUAAAAAACAACAAUUCUGGGCAUCUUUCAAUCCCGUCAUGACAACAGGUUCUGUAUCACUAAGUGUUGUGCUGGAUUGUGGUCAGUCCAUCCUGAAAACUAAGAGAGACACACACACACUUUUGAGCAGAGAGUUGUUUGGAGAGAUUUCUACACCCUGAAUUGGAAAACUUCCACAUUCGAAGGCCCCUUCUCACUACUAAGCCUACCAUACUAAACCUGUGAAGAUCUAACCCUGAAAAAUGUCACUGUGGCCCAGCCCCCACACUGCAGAUGCCUCUGGAGCAUCAGUCACACCGACAGCACCUGAACUUGAGGCAGGUGAAGUUCUGUCAAGUGGGACUUGCAGUUACUCCAUCCUGGAGUUCAUUGGUGAAGGCUGCUUUGGCAAAGUGGCCCAAUGCCAAAGGCUCCAUGCAAACGAGGCAGUCGCUAUAAAGAUCCUCAAAGACACUGAAUAUAUCCAGGACACAGAGAAUGAGGUGUCCAUGUUAGAACACAUCCAUGUUCUCAAUCCAGACCACACUAACGUGGUAAAGUUCUUUGAGUGUUUUUAUUACAUGGGACAGACGUGUCUGACAUUUGAGAUGCUAGAUCGUAGUCUCUAUGAUCUGCUCUUAGAACAAAACUGGAAUCCUCUUACUGUCAAAGAGGUGCGACCAAUAGCACAGC